rnacentral:rRNA from 1 species
UACGUAGGCAGCGAGCGUUGUUUCGGAGUUUACUGGGCGUAAAGGGUGUGUAGGCGGUUGUUUAAGUUUGGUGUGAAAUCUCCCGGCUCAACUGGGAGGGUGCGCCGAAUACUGAAUGACUUUCGAGUGCGGGAGAGGAGAGUGGAAUUUCCUGGUGUAGCGGUGAAAUGCGUAGAUAUCAGGAGGAACACCGGUGGUGUAGACGGCUCUCUGGACCGUAACUGACGCUGAGACACGAAAGCGUGGGUAGCAAACAGG